rnacentral:rRNA from 1 species
AGUUUGAUCCUGCUCAGGAUGAACGCUGGCAGUGUGCCUAAGACAUGCAAGUCGAACGGAAGACUUUUAGAGCUUGCUCUAGAGGUUUUUAGUGGCGAACGGGUGAGUAAUACGUGGGCGACCUACCUCCAAGUACGGCAUAACCCCGGGAAACCGGAGCUAAUUCCGUAUGUGCUUACGUCUUUUUUGACGUACGUAAAGAUUUAUUGCUUGGAGAUGGGCCCGCGGCGCAUCAGCUAGUUGGUAGGGUAAAGGCCUGCCAAGGCGACGACGCGUAGCCGACCUGAGAGGGUGACCGGCCACAGGGGCACUGAGACACGGGCCCCACUCCUACGGGAGGCAGCAGUUAGGAAUCUUCGGCAAUGGGGGAAACCCUGACCGAGCGACACUGCGUGGAGGAUGAAGGUUUUCGGAUCGUAAACUCCUGAACGAGGGACGAAAAAUGACGGUACCUCGCUAAUAGCACCGGCUAACUCCGUGCCAGCAGCCGCGGUAAUACGGAGGGUGCGAGCGUUAUCCGGAAUCACUGGGCGUAAAGGGCGCGUAGGCGGUUUGUCAAGUCCGACGUUAAAGCGUGAGGCUCAACCUCAUCACGGCGUUGGAUACUAGCAAGCUUGACGGUUGGAGAGGAAGGUAGAAUUACCAGUGUAGCGGUGGAAUGCGUAGAUACUGGUAGGAAUGCCCAUUGCGAAGGCAGCCUUCUGGACAACACGUGACGCUGAGGCGCGAAAGUGUGGGGGAGCAAACCGGAUUAGAUACCCGGGGUAGUCCACACCCUAAACGACGCACACUUGGUGUCGGCCCGUUGGGGUCGGUGCCGGAGUUAACGCGUUAAGUAUGCCGCCUGGGAAGUACGGGCCGCNAGGNUGAAACUCAAAGGAAUUGACGGGNCCCGCACAGCG